AGUGAACGCUGGCGGUAGGCCUAACACAUGCAAGUCGAACGGCAGCACAGGAGAGCUUGCUCUCUGGGUGGCGAGUGGCGGACGGGUGAGGAAUACAUCGGAAUCUACUUUUUCGUGGGGGAUAACGUAGGGAAACUUACGCUAAUACCGCAUACGACCUACGGGUGAAAGCAGGGGAUCUUCGGACCUUGCGCGAUUGAAUGAGCCGAUGUCGGAUUAGCUAGUUGGCGGGGUAAAGGCCCACCAAGGCGACGAUCCGUAGCUGGUCUGAGAGGAUGAUCAGCCACACUGGAACUGAGACACGGUCCAGACUCCUACGGGAGGCAGCAGUGGGGAAUAUUGGACAAUGGGCGCAAGCCUGAUCCAGCCAUACCGCGUGGGUGAAGAAGGCCUUCGGGUUGUAAAGCCCUUUUGUUGGGAAAGAAAUCCAUCUGGUUAAUACCCGGGUGGGAUGACGGUACCCAAAGAGGAAGCACCGGCUAACUUCGUGCCAGCCGCCGCCGUAA
rnacentral:rRNA from 1 species